GGUCAAAGGUGGCUGGGAUCAGCUCGUAGUUUGAUGUUCGGCGAGCAGGGGGCGGUUCGUUAUUUGACGUAACUGCCCCAUUUGCUCGUGUUUCUUCGGCAGAACUCCCAGGGUGCUCUUCGCCGAGUGUCCUGUUGGGGGCUGCCAGGUUUACUUUGAAAAAAUUAGAGUGCUCCAAGCAGGCUCGACACGCCUGAAUAUUUGUGCAUGGAAUAAUGGAAUAGGACGUCGUUCCUAUUUUGUUGGUUUUAGGGAAUCGACGUAAUGAUUAAUAGGGACAGUCGGGGGCAUUAGUAUUCAGACGACAGAGGUGAAAUUCUUGGACCGUCUGGCGACUCACUGCUGCGAAAGCAUUUA
rnacentral:rRNA from 1 species